ensembl:lncRNA
GGUUGCCAAGGCAGCGGCGUGUUCUGCCAGCCGCGCGCUCACCUUGAAUGAAUGGAGGACCUGUGAGAUUCGCGUAACAGCCUUUAAAGGCGGCGGAAGGAGGGUGGAGUGGAAGUGCGUCAAUCACCAAGUGCCGGUACACGCCCACGGCAACGAGCGUUGUUUGUAUACGGGCCUGGAUACAGAAAUACUGGAGCUGCCUCUUUCCCAGAAUGUGUGAAUACAGAACUCACACAUAGGCACAAUUUUAUUUAACCCUAUAUGCUGAAAAGACCAAUAUGCUGGUUAGUGGUGGACUAGCAUAGCUUUGAACCCAGAAACUGCCAGCAUGGCAUAGUCUCUUACUGUGCAACCAAC